rnacentral:rRNA from 1 species
AUUGAACGCUGGCGGCAUGCUUUACACAUGCAAGUCGAACGGCAGCACGGGUGCUUGCACCUGGUGGCGAGUGGCGGACGGGUGAGUAAUACAUCGGAACGUGUCCUGAAGUGGGGGAUAACGCAUCGAAAGAUGUGCUAAUACCGCAUAUACUCUGAGGAGGAAAGUAGGGGAUCGAAAGACCUUAUGCUUUUGGAGCGGCCGAUGUCUGAUUAGCUAGUUGGUAAGGUAAUGGCUUACCAAGGCGACGAUCAGUAGUUGGUCUGAGAGGACGGCCAGCCACACUGGGACUGAGACACGGCCCAGACUCCUACGGGAGGCAGCAGUGGGGAAUUUUGGACAAUGGGCGCAAGCCUGAUCCAGCAAUGCCGCGUGAGUGAAGAAGGCCU